GCUUGCUUCGGCAGCACAUACUAAAAUUGGCAUGAUAAAGAAAAGAUAACAAUGGUUCUGAGUAAGGAUGACAUGCAAAGUUGUGUAGUGUUCCAUAUUUUU